GUCCACGCCGUAAACGAUGGAUACUAGCUGUCGGGACUUCGGUCUCGGCGGCCAAGCGAAAGUGAUAAGUAUCCCACCUGGGGAGUACGUUCGCAAGAAUGAAACUCAAAGGAAUUGACGGGGGCCCGCACAAGCGGUGGAGCAUGUGGUUUAAUUCGAUGAUACGCGAGGAACCUUACCAGGGCUUAAAUGCAGUCCGACAGCUUUAGAGAUAGAGUUUUCUUCGGACGGAUUGCAAGGUGCUGCAUGGUU
rnacentral:rRNA from 1 species